UACGAAGGGAGCUAGCGUUGUUCGGAAUCACUGGGCGUAAAGCGCACGUAGGCGGGUUUGUCAGUCAGGGGUGAAAUCCCGGAGCUCAACUCCGGAACUGCCCUUGAUACAGCAAGCCUUGAGUCCGGAAGAGGUAGGUGGAAUUCCUAGUGUAGAGGUGAAAUUCGUAGAUAUCGGGAGGAACACCGGUGGCGAAGGCGGCGACCUGGGUAGAUACUGACGCUGAGGUGCGAAAGCGUGGGGAGCAAACAGG
rnacentral:rRNA from 1 species